rnacentral:rRNA from 1 species
GUCUAAUACUGGAUGCUACACGUCACCGCAUGGUGGUGUGUGGAAAGGGUUUACUGGUCUUGGAUGGGCUCACGGCCUAUCAGCUUGUUGGUGAGGUAAUGGCUCACCAAGGCGACGACGGGUAGCCGGCCUGAGAGGGUGACCGGCCACACUGGGACUGAGACACGGCCCAGACUCCUACGGGAGGCAGCAGUGGGGAAUAUUGCACAAUGGGCGAAAGCCUGAUGCAGCGACGCCGCGUGAGGGAUGACGGCCUUCGGGUUGUAAACCUCUUUCAGCAGGGAAGAAGCCACAAGUGACGGUACCUGCAGAAGAAGCGCCGGCUAACUACGUGCCAGCAGCCGCGGUAAUACGUAGGGCGCAAGCGUUGUCCGGAAUUAUUGGGCGUAAAGAGCUCGUAGGCGGUUUGUCGCGUCUGCUGUGAAAGCCCGGGGCUUAACCCCGGGUGUGCAGUGGGUACGGGCAGACUAGAGUGCAGUAGGGGAGACUGGAAUUCCUGGUGUAGCGGUGGAAUGCGCAGAUAUCAGGAGGAACACCGAUGGCGAAGGCAGGUCUCUGGGCUGUUACUGACGCUGAGGAGCGAAAGCAUGGGGAGCGAACAGGAUUAGAUACCCUGGUAGUCCAUGCCGU